rnacentral:tRNA from 1 species
GAAGGCUUGGUGUAGUGGUAGCAUGUCUGAUUCCAGUCCAGAUGGUCACCGGUUCAAAUCCGGUAGUCUUCA